rnacentral:rRNA from 1 species
GACGUAGGAGGCGAGCGUUGUCCGGAUUCAUUGGGCGUAAAGAGCGCGCAGGCGGCUUGGUAAGUCGGAUGUGAAAUCCCGAGGCUCAACCUCGGGUCUGCAUCCGAUACUGCCCGGCUAGAGGUAGGUAGGGGAGAUCGGAAUUCCUGGUGUAGCGGUGAAAUGACGCAGAUAUCAGGAGGAACACCGGUGGCGAAGGCGGAUCUCUGGGCCGAUACUGACGCUGGAGGAGCGAAAGCGUGGGGAGCGAACAGG